rnacentral:lncRNA from 1 species
UAGCCAGUUGCACCCCAGCCUAGCCUGUCGUGUGAAGGCCUACCGUGUGGACAGUGUGCGCACAGAGCGCACGAAGCCACACCUGUUUGCACGUAGAACGCGCCUUGCACCCCGUGCUGACUGGACAUGUGCAUAGUGUGCACGUCCUAUGCUGGCCGUGCAAGCGUGCGCACGCACAGUGUGCGAAGCCCGCGUAGGCAGGAUGCU